rnacentral:rRNA from 1 species
AUACGAAGGGGGCUAGCGUUGUUCGGAAUCACUGGGCGUAAAGCGCGCGUAGGUGGAUCAAUUAGUUGAGGGUGAAAUCCCGGGGCUCAACCUCGGAACUGCCUUCAAUACAGUUGAUCUUGAGACCGAGAGAGGUGAGUGGAAUUCCUAGUGUAGAGGUGAAAUUCGUAGAUAUUAGGAAGAACACCAGUGGCGAAGGCGGCUCACUGGCUCGGUACUGACGCUGAGGUGCGAAAGCGUGGGGAGCAAACAGGAUUAGAAACCCCAGUAGUCC